rnacentral:rRNA from 1 species
GGUUAAGUUGUUAAGGGCGCAC